rnacentral:rRNA from 1 species
GUAGUCUCGCACAGAUGCAUAUCAAUAAGCGGAGGAAAAGAAACUAACAAGGAUUCCCCUAGUAACGGCGAGUGAAGCGGGAAGAGCUCAAAUUUGAAAUCUUAAAGGGUUUCCCUUUACGAAUUGUAGUUUAAAGAAGUGUUUUCUGUUGAGGUUUUGGUAAAAGUUCUUUGGAAUAGGACAUCAUAGAGGGUGAGAAUCCCGUAUUUGACCUUUACUUUCAACUUUGUGAUACACUUUCAAAGAGUCGGAUUGUUUGGGAAUGCAGUCCAAAAUGGGUGGUAAAUUUCAUCUAAAGCUAAAUAUUGGCGAGAGACCGAUAGCGAACAAGUACCGUGAGGGAAAGAUGAAAAGAACUUUGAAAAGAGAGUUAAACAGUACGUGAAAUUGUCAAAAGGGAAGCGUUUGACACCAGUGUUGUUUUUCUGAAAAUCAAUUAAAGAACUGUUUAUGCUAAGUUGUUUAGACUUUAUCAGCUAACUGUUUAGUUUUGAGCUUUUCUUUAAUGCACUUUUCAGUUAACAAGUCAACAUCAAUUUCUUUUGCUGUAAAAAAGCUUGAGGAAGGUGGCUUGAGAUUCGUCUUAAGUGUUUAUAGCCUCUUGCCUAUGCAGUCGGAGAGAUUGAGGUCUGCAGCGUAGAUCCUUCGGGGCUAAAUGCAUUUGUGCUAAGUUAUAGCAUUUUAUAGACAACUUGUUGACUAUGAUUUGUCUUGUAGCUUACUCGCUUAUGCUAUUUUACCUACGCUUAGGAUGUUGAACUACAUGAGACAUAGA